UACGGGGGGGGCAAGCGUUGUUCGGAAUUACUGGGCGUAAAGGGCUCGUAGGCGGCCAACUAAGUCGGACGUGAAAUCCCUCGGCUUAACCGGGGAACUGCGUCCGAUACUGGAUGGCUUGAGUUUGGGAGAGGGAUGCGGAAUUCCAGGUGUAGCGGUGAAAUGCGUAGAUAUCUGGAGGAACACCGGUGGCGAAGGCGGCAUCCUGGACCAACACUGACGCUGAGGAGCGAAAGCCAGGGGAGCAAACGGGG
rnacentral:rRNA from 1 species